rnacentral:lncRNA from 1 species
GUGUGUGUAUUUAAUGUAAAUUUUUUUAAACAUAUAGAUAUUAAGCGAGUUAUUAGGUAAUUCGUUUAUUUUUCUCGUUGGGUUUAAGUCUUAAUAUUUUAACACGAUUAUUAAAUAAAUUAUGCUUUGGAUCAAUCUAAAUUUGAUAUAAUACAAAAUUAACAUGAUGCGAACACAACUUAAUAACCUAUUUUGUCAGCUCUGCUGCCGACUAUUUGUUAAAUAUGAGCUAACGAGCACCAAAAAAGCAAACUUCUUUUCCUGCACCCACUACAAAGUGGGCAAUGCUCAUAUGUUGUAAGUCGAGAAUUUUGACAAUCUAGAACCAGUACUUUUGUCAAUUUGGCUCUGAAUAUAUUCAUUUGAUGUGACUGUCGAUGUUUGACUUGCUUAAUCCUGCCUACCAUCCAUCGGCCUUUCUCCCCCGUUGUCAUUGAUUUAUAUCCAUAUACACAUGUUCACAUCGUUGCUUGCUUCAAUCAACCCCACUCGUGGGGUUGUGAGCGAUUGCUUUGGCAAAGAAUAGUGUUUUGACAGUUUGAUUUUGAAUUCUGGGACCGGUUGGUGGUAGUCGCCCGCCGGUUUAUGACUCCAGAUCAACUUGAAACUUAAGUGUCCCUCGCUUUGUUAAACCUAGACUGAGAAAAACGGCCCGACGAGUAAACAACUUGAUUAGUUGAAGUUGACGCUGACAAGCUCAAACUUGGCUUUUGGGGUUCCUGAAGACUGAUUUAACCUUUAAAUAGCACAUCACAAUUUGAUUUAAAAGUCAGAUUCUAAUGUUUUUAGUUUUAAUCGAGUAAUUUUGAAACAGAAAUCAAAUUUUGAAAGGAAGUAAACUUAAAAAAUCAAUUUGAAUUCCAACCUGUCUCGUAGCUUCUAAUAAAAUUUCACCUUUCCUGAGGGCAGAAUUUGGACUGUGUUUUGUAAACCUCUAAGAUACAUAUACUAUCGACGUAAUACUCAAUCUAAAUACGAACGUACAAAGGUACAUACCAUGAUACCAACAUUGUUGGCAAACAAAGGAUUUAUUUUGUCAAAAAGAAUCCAAACCUUAAUAAACCAUACCACAAGAUGAGAUUAAAAAAAAAUAAUAAUAAUCAAAUCGACCUACAUUAUGAUUAAUGAUAACAUUAAAUAACAAAUGGUUAGAUCUUUAAAAAAAAAAAGUCAACAAAACUAGUAUCCGGACAGCGGGUCAGGAUCUAAAUGGAUUAUUACAGGGCCACGCUGCCACAACCAGUUCCAGUUGGACACGCCUAAAAAGGCCAUUUGAAUAGAAUCUUUUGCAAGCCUUGCGGCUUAUUUUCCAGUUUUUAAACUAUUAAGCAAACAAAUCCUUUUUUCAUGAUGCACGCACAGAACAAGUUCGUCCGCGCAGGACGGGACCACAAGCAAAUCAAGAACUCCUCCUGUUUGUCCACCAUAACACCAUUAGGUACCCUUACUACCUAAACUGCUCGUGCACAUGCUGAACAUAUUAUUAUUAUUAUUAUUUUCAUUUGAAGAAAUUUGCUUUUGCUAAUAAAAAGAAAUAAGUGUAUUUGUAAAACCCAAAGAAGAAGAAGAAGAAGGAGAUAGAUAUCAUUAACUCACUGCUCCAUAUCGAUAUCACGGCAUGUGCGCACAUUAGCACAAUUUGUUUCCUCACAGAACAGACUUUGACUUUGACUUAGUUCACUUUUCGGGCUUUACUCGUUGCCUCGCCGACGGUCUCCAACAUCUCCAAUUGGACCAUUCAAUUUUC